AUUGAACGCUGGCGGCAUGCCUUACACAUGCAAGUCGAACGGUAACAGGUCUUCGGAUGCUGACGAGUGGCGAACGGGUGAGUAAUACAUCGGAACGUGCCUAGUAGUGGGGGAUAACUACUCGAAAGAGUGGCUAAUACCGCAUGAGAUCUACGGAUGAAAGCAGGGGAUCGCAAGACCUUGCGCUACUAGAGCGGCCGAUGGCAGAUUAGGUAGUUGGUGGGAUAAAAGCUUACCAAGCCUACGAUCUGUAGCUGGUCUGAGAGGACGAUCAGCCACACUGGGACUGAGACACGGCCCAGACUCCUACGGGAGGCAGCAGUGGGGAAUUUUGGACAAUGGGCGCAAGCCUGAUCCAGCAAUGCCGCGUGCAGGAUGAAGGCCUUCGGGUUGUAAACUGCUUUUGUACGGAACGAAAAGCCCUGGGUUAAUACCCUGGGGUCAUGACGGUACCGUAAGAAUAAGCACCGGCUAACUACGUGCCAGCAGCCGCCGUAA
rnacentral:rRNA from 1 species